rnacentral:misc_RNA from 1 species
CUGUCAUUCUAGCAAAUGCAGCAAUUCCACUAGCCAGAUCAGUACGCUGUUUGGAUCUAGCAUUUUCAGAUUUCACAAAAGCAACUAUUAUAGCAAGUCCAAAUGCUAUUCCAAACACAACCCCUAAAACAAAUGACAUUUUUAUCCCACUUUUUCUUAAAUCCCCUCUUCCUUGUUCAAUGAUUUCUAUAAGCUAAUAAACUGAAAAAAUUCGAAAAGAUCUAAAAAAAAGGUGAGAUUUUGAAUCUGUUUUUGGAGUUUUCUUCUUAUGGGGUUUUCCUAAAAGAUGAAUUCUUG